UGUUCUGAAGGUUGCCGUCUGAGUCGAUAGAUGCAAUCGGUUAAAACUUUCAACAACGGAUCUCUUGGUUCCGGCAUCGAUGAAGAACGCAGCGAAAUGCGA
rnacentral:rRNA from 1 species